rnacentral:rRNA from 1 species
CGCCUGUUUAUCAAAAACAUCUUUUCUCGUUAGUUUUUGAAGUAUGGCCUGCCCGCUGACUUUGGUGUUGAAGGGCCGCGGUAUUUUGACCGUGCAAAGGUAGCAUAGUCAUUAGUUCUUUAAUUGUGAUCUGGUAUGAAUGGCUUGACGAGGCAUGGGCUGUCUUAAUUUUGAAUUGUUUAUUGAAUUUGGUCUUUGAGUUAAAAUUCUUAGAUGUUUUUAUGGGACGAGAAGACCCUAUAGAGUUUAACAUUUGUUAUGGUCCCCUUUCUGUUUGUGAGGGUUCAUUGGGCCGUUUAAUAUGUUUUGUUGGGGUGAUGGGAGGGAUUAAUUUAACCCCUCCUUUUUAUUAUUAUAUUUAUUUAUAUUUACUUGAUCCAUUUAUUUUGAUUGUAAGAUUAAAUUACCUUAGGGAUAACAGCGUAAAGAAA